rnacentral:rRNA from 1 species
UGGGGAAUUUUGGACAAUGGGGGAAACCCUGAUCCAGCCAUCCCGCGUGUGCGAUGAAGGCCUUCGGGUUGUAAAGCACGUUUGGCAGGAAAGAAACGUCAUGGGUUAAUACCCCGUGAAACUGACGGUACCUGCAGAAUAAGCACCGGCUAACUACGUGCCAGCAGCCGCGGUAAUACGUAGGGUGCAAGCGUUAAUCGGAAUUACUGGGCGUAAAGCGUGCGCAGGCGGUUCGGAAAGAAAGAUGUGAAAUCCCAGAGCGCAACUUUGGAACUGCAUUUUUAACUACCGGGCUAGAGUGUGUCAGAGGGAGGUGGAAUUCCGCGUGUAGCAGUGAAAUGCGUAGAUAUGCGGAGGAACACCGAUGGCGAAGGCAGCCUCCUGGGAUAACACUGACGCUCAUGAACGAAAGCGUGGGGAGCAAACAGG